rnacentral:rRNA from 1 species
AUUGAACGCUGGCGGCAGGCCUAACACAUGCAAGUCGAGCGGAUGAUGGGAGCUUGCUCCUGGAUUCAGCGGCGGACGGGUGAGUAAUGCCUAGGAAUCUGCCUGGUAGUGGGGGACAACGUUUCGAAAGGAACGCUAAUACCGCAUACGUCCUACGGGAGAAAGCAGGGGACCUUCGGGCCUUGCGCUAUCAGAUGAGCCUAAGUCGGAUUAGCUAGUAGGUGAGGUAAAGGCUCACCUAGGCGACGAUCCGUAACUGGUCUGAGAGGAUGAUCAGUCACACUGGAACUGAGACACGGUCCAGACUCCUACGGGAGGCAGCAGUGGGGAAUAUUGGACAAUGGGCGAAAGCCUGAUCCAGCCAUGCCGCGUGUGUGAAGAAGGUCUUCGGAUUGUAAAGCACUUUAAGUUGGGAGGAAGGGUAGUAAGUUAAUACCUUGCUGUUUUGACGUUACCGACAGAAUAAGCACCGGCUAACUUCGUGCCAGCCGCCGCAGUAAUAC